AACGAACGCUGGCGGCGCGCCUAAUACAUGCAAGUCGAGCGAGAAGACGUAGCAAUACGUUUGUAAAGCGGCGAACGGGUGAGGAAUACAUGGGUAACCUACCCUCGAGUGGGGAAUAACUAGCCGAAAGGUUGGCUAAUACCGCGUACGCUCCUUGGACUUCGGUUCAGGGAGGAAAGCGAUACCGUGGGUAUCGCGCUCUUGGAUGGGCUCAUGUCCUAUCAGCUUGUUGGUGAGGUAACGGUUCACCAAGGCUUCGACGGGUAGCUGGUCUGAGAGGACGAUCAGCCACACUGGCACUGCGACACGGGCCAGACUCCUACGGGAGGCAGCAGUAAGGAAUAUUGCGCAAUGGGCGAAAGCCUGACGCAGCGACGCCGCGUGGGGGAUGAAGGUCUUCGGAUUGUAAACCCCUUUCGGGAGGGAAGAUGGAACGAGCAUCGUUCGGACGGUACCUCCAGAAGCAGCCACGGCUAACUUCGU
rnacentral:rRNA from 1 species